CGAGGGGCAGCAUGGUUUUAGCUUGCUAAGGCCGAUGGCGACCGGCGCACGGGUGAGUAACACGUAUCCAACCUGCCGUCUAUUCUUGGACAGCCUUCUGAAAGGAAGAUUAAUACAAGAUGGCAUCAUGAGUCCGCAUGUUCACAUGAUUAAAGGUAUUCCGGUAGACGAUGGGGAUGCGUUCCAUUAGAUAGUAGGCGGGGUAACGGCCCACCUAGUCUUCGAUGGAUAGGGGUUCUGAGAGGAAGGUCCCCCACAUUGGAACUGAGACACGGUCCAAACUCCUACGGGAGGCAGCAGUGAGGAAUAUUGGUCAAUGGGCGAGAGCCUGAACCAGCCAAGUAGCGUGAAGGAUGACUGCCCUAUGGGUUGUAUACUUCUUUUAUAAAGGAAUAAAGUCGGGUAUGCAUACCCGUUUGCAUGUACUUUAUGAAUAAGGAUCGGCUAACUCCGUGCCAGCAGCCGCGGUAAUACGGAGGAUCCGAGCGUUAUCCGGAUUUAUUGGGUUUAAAGGGAGCGUAGAUGGAUGUUUAAGUCAGUUGUGAAAGUUUGCGGCUCAACCGUAAAAUUGCAGUUGAUACUGGAUAUCUUGAGUGCAGUUGAGGCAGGCGGAAUUCGUGGUGUAGCGGUGAAAUGCUUAGAUAUCACGAAGAACUCCGAUUGCGAAGGCAGCCUGCUAAGCUGCAACUGACAUU
rnacentral:rRNA from 1 species